rnacentral:rRNA from 1 species
GUAGGUGGCAAGCGUUGUCCGGAAUUAUUGGGCGUAAAGCGCGCGCAGGCGGUUCUUUAAGUCUGAUGUGAAAGCCCACGGCUCAACCGUGGAGGGUCAUUGGAAACUGGAGAACUUGAGUACAGAAGAGGAAAGCGGAAUUCCACGUGUAGCGGUGAAAUGCGUAGAGAUGUGGAGGAACACCAGCGGCGAAGGCGGCUUUCUGGUCUGUAACUGACGCUGAGGCGCGAAAGCGUGGGGAGCAAACAGGAUUAGAUACCCUGGUAGUCCACGCCGUAAACGAUGAGUGCUAAGUGUUAGGGGGGUUUUCCGCCCCCCUUAGUGCUGCAGCCAACGCAUUAAGCACUCCGCCUGGGAGUACGGCCGCAAGGCUG